rnacentral:rRNA from 1 species
AGUGAACGCUGGCGGCGUGCUUAACACAUGCAAGUCGAACGAGAACGGAUUAUAGCUUGCUAUAAUUGUCAGCUAAGUGGCGCACGGGUGAGUAAUGUAUAGGUAAUAUGCCUCUUACUAAGGGAUAACAAAUGGAAACGUUUGCUAAUACCUUAUACUCCUUAUUAACAGAAGUUAAUAAGGGAAAGAUUUAUUGGUAAGAGAUUAGCCUGUAUUGUAUCAGUUAGUUGGUGGGGUAAUGGCUUACCAAGACUAUGACACAUAACUGGUUGGAGAGGAUGAUCAGUCACACUGGAACUGAGACACGGUCAGACUCCUACGGGAGGCAGCAGUGGGGAAUAUUGCACAAUGGACGAAAGUCUGAUGCAGCAACGCCGCGUGGAGGAUGACACAUUUCGGUGCGUAAACUCCUUUUAUAUGAGAAGAUAAUGACGGUAUUAUAUGAAUAAGCACCGGCUAACUCCGUGCCAGCAGCCGCCGUAA